AUGCCCAUUAGUGUUCCAAAAGUACCUUACCGGAUUCCCGGAGAUGAAGAAGCGACUUGGGUUGACUUAUACAAUGUUAUGUAUCGAGAAAGGACACUUUUUUUAGUUCACUGCCCUAUACAUAGAAAGAAGUGCUUUUCCACCGGUAUCAACAUUCUAUCUGGAAUCAGUAGCGAUAAUUGUUGUAUUGUGAGCCAGCCCCGUAAGACACUACGCACCUCCAAAUUCUAUAUGAUUUUUCCAAUCAUUUCAUUUAUACGAGAGCAUACGAGCGGAAUACGAUACUAUCGAGCUUACCGAAAGUGUGAGCUGAAAUUCAAGGGUAAUCACACCCUUGACUCUAUCACAAGCUAUUGGAAUUGGCUGGAACUUUCUAUACCAAAAAGGGAUAUAUAUAUAUAUAUAGGGGUUUGUUUUAUUGGUGCAAUAGAGAUCUUUCAUAGAUGGAUCCCGAUAUGA
rnacentral:rRNA from 1 species